AGAGAGAGAGAGAGAGAGUAUUGGACCCUUGGCCCUUAUUUUUGACUUGUAGUUUACACAGUUGAGUUGGGCCCUAUAAAUGGAUAUGUCAAGAUUUUGGUUCCUCCCAAAUCCAUUAAUGUGGAUUCUCCUGACCGCCCCACUUGCUAUUGUGGGGACGCAAUAUUCCACCUUUCUUGUUGACUCCUACAUACUUUUGGCAUUAUUGCUUGUGAGUGGUUAUUGUACUUUCACUUCACUAAAAGGUAAAUAAGCAUGCAUUUCCCAAUUAUAUUAUUUUGUUGGGCAUGCAUGGGUAAAUUCAAUAUGAAUCAAGCCCCCUUAUAUAUUUUUUAAACUUAUCUAAUGAUUUUUAGGUCUUCUCAAAAUCCCCACUCUAUAAAUCUCUAUUUUAUUUUAUUUUACUUAUUUUUAAUCUUUUUGGAUCAUCAAUUUGGACCGAUCUAAACCUAAUCCAGAUCAUCGAUCCAACGGUUCGAUACGAAGCUAUGGGUGAACGAUCUGCUUUAUUGAUCCGGUUUUUAAGACAUUGAUUUCAUCUUUGGUUGACCUGGGUAAGCCUUACCUUUAAGCAUUGUUUUUUUGAGAGAUUUAACCCUAAGAAAGAAGAAACUAUUUUAUGAGAUUCAAUUGUUUGUUUACUACUUAUUGUCCUGGAACAAAGCUUAAAGGUAAGGGCUGGAUGUUGUUCCGGGUGACAUAGUUGUUAAAAUUGUUAAAGUGUAUUUUCUAGAAAGUAUAUUAAUUUUUAUCUUAUUUAAUCAUGAGUGAUGUAGUAAGGUUCCACUUGUAAGUUUGUGUGGUAGGAAAUUGUAAAACUACUAGGUGGUUAGUAGUUAUAAUUACAAGUGCGUAGAUAUUGUAGGAAAUAUGAUUGUAAAUAUGUUUAUUUAAAUAGAGGUGUAUGGUGAUAAAAUUUGGUCACAUGUAUUAAGGUUAAUCUUAGGUGUCAAGAUUAUAAUGCCUUUGUAUACCCCUGGGUCACAUGUGUUAAGGUUAAUCUUGUGUAUUAAGAUUAUAAUACCUGUGUACCUCAUGUUUUUCUUCAGUGAAGUUUUACUUCUACUUCAUCUUGAUUCUUCUUCUUUCUAUUUGCUUGUGAGUCUUGGGAGAAUGUGGCAUUGUCACACUAAUUGAUAAGUGGAUUGUUCUGGCAUCCAUCUUUUUCUAUAUAGUAUCCGAGCUGCAAGGGUGGUAGUUAUGUGGUAUUGAUUCCCUUGGUGAAGAAGAUUGUUGGAAUGUAUUUUUUAUCAGCAUAGGGCCCCCUCUCAAUAAAGGCCUAGCACCCUAAAAUAGACCCUAUAACUAGAGCUACAUUUUCAAUGUCUCAAUUUUCUAUGGGACCACUACCAUUGGAACCGGCACAGUUGAAAACCCAUAGGGGUCAAAUUUCAGCUCGAACGGACACUCUAAGAAGAAGUUAUAGGCAAAAGAGUGAAACAGGAGGGGCCGCAUGCUACUCCUGUGCGGCCACCCUGCAACACCACGCCAUGGAAGGGACAGUUACGACCAGUGCAUUUCGAUACUCAUAUCUCACCUAUCCCAAUUUAGAUCGUGCUCAAAUUUGGUUAGCAUGUAUGUCUAGUCAAGAUGAGCGAUUCAAUAUGUUGCACGCCCCGUAACGACAACCGAAUGCAAAGAAAAGCUACAGAGAAGUUGUUGAUCCAUGAAGAAAGUGCAGAAAAUUCAGCAGCGUCGUGCCUCUCUCAAGUGAUCGGAUCACGCUGCUAGCGAGCCAGAUCGAUGCGAGUCCAAUUCUAUUGCGGGUGUAAGGUCACUGACGCGUACAUGAUGAACUGUCGGAUUCUGCACAUGAAACUGACGAAGUGAUUGCAAAUUUCGUGGCCGAAAUUCUAGAUUCGGCCGUAAUUCCAAAGUUAUGAAAUCUUCGUACGGGCAUUAAAUCGAGCUGUAUUUGUUGCCCCGCGGUAUUAACGGCAUGCUCAAUGUAGUUCAACGAAGAAAUCUUCGAAAAACAUUAAGGAACUAGUACACUAUCGAUCCGAAGUUUCAAGAUCCACUCAAAUUUUAAGUCACAUGAUCGUGUACUAGAAACACAAUUCGUGGCUUGAAGUUUGUAUGAAAUUGAUUGCCAUGUCGAGCCCUACAAGAAAACAAUCAUCUUACGAUCAACCGGGCUUCAGAACGACCCCGGAUCAUCCAUGCAAGAUCACGCAAGUUCUAGGGCAACAUAUGGACUGUUCUGGAGUUCUACAGAUUGUUAGGAAGGGGCAAAUCUAUCAUUUUGCACCCUUUUAAUUUCUUUGAAUUCAAUUUAAUCUUAAUUUCCAGCAAUUAGGGUUGCAAAUUCUAUACAUAUGUACCAGCAUUGUACGCAGAAAAGACACAUACACAGGAUCCAACUCCUUGCAAAAGAGAGUUUUUACUGAAUAUAGUUUAUCUUUCUUCCCACUGUUAUAUCACGUUUGAGAGAGAGAGUGAGGUAAGAGAAACUUUUGACCAGUACCUAUAGGUUCGAGGUAAACAUUCUCUCUCUUUUUUUCAUUUCUUCUCUCUCUCAUCUUUUCUCUCUUCUUCUCUUUCUUCUUAUUCUUACCCAUCUGAGCUCUCCUCAAAGACCAUGCAUGGUAGUGGUAGUGUCGUGCAUGCCUCUCUAGUAGCCUCACAAGUCGCGCAUGGCGAUGGCAGUUCCAUGUGCGCAUCUCUUUCUCCCUCUGUUCUAUCUCUUUCGUGAGGCCUACAGACGAUGCUGCUCAUCACCGUCUGCAGAUGUAUCCUAAGCGCCUCAGCGAAGGACGCGGGCUUCACCUUGUCGUGUGACCGUUGCAGACAGCAAUACCCAUCGCCAUCCACAAAGGGUCGAGGCAAUACUCGUUGUCGUGCACUGACUUCUUUCUCGCUUCACUAUGCCCAUUGUUGUUCGCCCUACGAGAAGUAAUCGCCACGAGACCUAUGAAAAGUUAUUGACGUGCACCUCAUUAGGAGCCAUCACUGUUCGCUAGGGACAUGUCGCCUCCUUGUGUUGCCAAGGGCGAUGCCCAUUGCCGUUUGGAUUCUUCCUCCCUCUCUUGUCUCUCUCUCUCUUCUCUUCAUCCUUUUCUCUUCUAACUUGACUGAGCGUAGAUCUAACUUAGCACCGCCAUCUUGGUCUCAGUUUUGAGUAGUAUUGCCGUCGUGCUGGUCUUGAGGACCAUGCCCGUCUUUGCUACCAUUUCGAGUCGGUAAUUGUCUAAUGCUAGCUUUGCCUCUCCGUCGAUUUUUUCUUCUCUUUUCUAUCUUUAUCUAAAACGUUACGUUUCAUCAUGCUCUCACAUGAACGUACGUUACCCUAAGACAAGGGUGAAUCUUCUUGACCCACUUGUCUUACAAAUUAUCGCCAUGCGUUUCGUUAGGAGCCAUCACUGUUCGCUAAGGACAUGUCACCUCCUUGUGCUGCCAACGGCGAUGCCCAUUGCCGUCUGGAUUCUUUCUCCCUCUACUGACUCUCUCUCACUUCUCUUCAUCCGUUUCUCUUCUAACUUGACUGAGGGUAGAUCUAGCUUAACACCGCCAUCUUGGUCUCGGUUUUGAGUAGUAUUGCCGUCUUGCUGGUCUUGAGGACCGUGUCCGUCUUGCUACCACUCCGAGUCGAUACUUGUCCGGAUGUGAUGCUAGCUUUGCCUUUCGGUCGAGUUCUUCUUCUCCUUUCUAUCUUUAUCAAAACUUUACGUUUCAUCAUGCUCUCACAUGAACGUACGUUGCCCUAAGACAAGGGUGGGUCUUCUUGACCCACUUGUCUUACAAAUUAACCAUUGAAGGGUUGUGCAGAAAACAAGAGGAUUGCAGGUUAAGGGAGGCGAUUCCGAACCAGCUAAAGCAACUGAGGGGCUUUCUUCAUGAUCUAAGAGGGUGCCCAUGCGAGCUAGCCUGAGUAAGUACCAAACCCACUUAAAAUUCCUCUCUCAUCGGUUGGUAUACUUACCCUUGCUCUCUAGCAAGGUUCUGAGAGAGCAAUCUCAUACCCCGGGUUCACCAGAAACCUGAGGUACACUCCGUCAAAUCAUCUAGAUCUGGUAGGUGAGAUCGAGACAUCUAACCAGCUUGACGACUCCACUGGGGACUUAUUAUCCCUUAGUCGAUUCGCUCUUGUUUAACCAGUAUCCUCUUUUACUUUUUGCACUUAUUUCUAUGGCAUAUGGGUUGUUCAACCCGUUUAUAUGGGUCGAGGAUUUCCUUAUCCCCACACUCGUGGCUGUUCCAAGGAAGCGAGCUGCUCAAGCCUCCUUCCCCGUCCUCCUCCUGAGUCGGGACUCAUGGUCCGACUCCUUGGUUCUCACCUGGAUCGGUGCAAGAGGCGACUGAAAGGUCCCUGCCUCCUCUCUUUCUCACCUUGGUGGACUCUCCACCAAGGUCCCUUGCAUGGGUAGCACACCUGCUGCCACGCCCUGCUACUGGCAAGUCUACUGCUAGUCAUAUUGCUGAGGCACGCCAAAAGGUUGCCCCCAUCACUCUCAUGAAAGGCAAGCAAGUUGUCGUUGCUCUUGAGGUUUGCAGAAAGGCAACCCCUUAUGCCUCUCCAUCACCCCGAACCUUCACACCUAGAGAGUCGGCACAUAGAGGCGAAGGUCCUAAGAUCUCCACCCCUUGCACACACCCAAGGGCUCAUGGUUCAUCCACUCGAGCCACACCUCGGGGCAACCCUCACGUUGGCUUGAGCUCGCAUCCAAGGCUAGGCCUUCUCGGGCCAAACCUUGCAUGCUCCAUGCAUUUGCUUUCCACAACCCAGGGCAAUGCUAGCUCUACGCCACCUCGAGCACAUGAGGGACCACUCUGUCCUCCCUCCUAGCACACACAGCUUCACCCUGUGAGAGGUGGUCUUCUGCGUCACCCCUCAGACACAAGCUCGUGGGUCUUGACCUCCUCAGGUAGAGCUCAUUGAUCAAGCCCGGGUCAACCCCCAAGUCACCCAGACGGCUAACUCUAAAGGUGCACACGCACUGUCUUGACAUGUUCUUUCCGGACCUCAACUCAGACGUAGUCGUGAGCCAGCUCCUUCUUCUGUCGCUCUCUCCACACCAGGCAAACACCUCGAACCCUAGUACUCGAAGAUCUUCCCUAAGAGUACCAUCUUGAGCCAGCCUCAGGUCUGCCAUGCGCAUGGGCCCCAUAGAGGAACUCGGGCUAACGACCUAAUGUCAGACAUAGGUCUCCAGCCUCCAAGGAAAAAACCCAUGCUGCCUUCUGUCCUCGGACCCCACUCCCUGUUCCAGCUCAUAGACACGGCCCUUGCAUGUUCCAAGAAGGCGGGCAGUCCAGGUCUCAAGCUCGGUUCUGAGUGAAGUCCACAGUCGGCUUAAGGUUAAACAGGAAAGAGGUCUUCAGAUCCUGAUCAAAGAAGCCUCCAAGGCAGUCGAGGCCACCACCUUUGAUGACCUCUUGCCUUGUAACCCCUUCUUCCCUCUCCAAACUCCAGAGCCUGGCCGAGUCUAAGAGAAUUGCUGAGUUGCCACUAUUAAGAAGCCACGGUCCCAAGACCGUCAAGAACCAAUCCUCACAAGAUCGACAUACAAGGCUCAAGUCCAGUCGAGGCAGGCUAAACCCCUUAAGACUGACUUGCUACGCACCACUUGCCGAUCUUGGCAGUCCGCUAUCCCGUUAGGUUUUGACCCUCCAGAAGAGACAGUCAGUGUUAUGGUGAUCAAGGACCCGGACAACUCUCAGGAGGAGCGGAUGAACAAGUUCGAGGAAAUGAUGCAAGCUAUCCUUAGAAAGAUGGAACACUUAGAGGCCUCCAGGUCCUCUUCUUCGACCGAUUCCCCUCCUGGUGAGGACACAGUUCCAAGACAAACUCCUCCAUCAACCUCCCAAGACAGUUCUGCCUCCCGCGGGGUCUCCCAAACCAACAUAGAUGCUAUGGUGGCCCAUAGCCUCAAGAACAAGGUCUUAGGCAUACAGGAGAUGCCGCUCUAUUAAAAGUCAUACCCUUUGUACAUAGACCAAGUACCCUUCCCUCCGAACUAUCAAAAGGGGAAGCUCCCCUUGUUCAACGGUACUACGUGUUCGCACCAGCAUAUUGCUCACUUCCAGGCAGCCUGUCGAGAGACGGCAGCUGACGGACGACUCCUCCUCCAUUAGUUUGUCAAAACUCUUGAAGGGCCAGCCUUCCAGUGGUAUGCUCGGCUGCCUCCCAACUCAGUACACACAUGGCAAGAGAUGGAGUAGUUGUUCUACGAACGCUUCUACGAAGUUCAUCACUCGCUGGAGAGACUUAGAAACCUUCCAUGCCAGACCCAUGAACGAGAAGGACGCGGUCCAAACCUACAUACGGAACAUGCUUCUCGAGAUCGCUCUACAUGUCGAGGCAUCCAAUCCACCCUCCAUGUCAAAGCUCAUCUCCAAAGCAGUUCGUAUAGAGAGAUUAUUCAAGCAUCACGACAACCCUCGUCAGCAACUUGCCAGCUUUAAUGGUCACUCCAACAGUCGGGGCUGCUAAAAGGAAGUAAUCAGCGCGACCGUCACCAUGCCCGACACCAAAGGCGCGGUUCCUCAAAACCUGGACCUUUCCAAGGUACAUGUGUCUCCGGUUGGAUGCAAGCAGCAGUCCUACAAUCGCAUCCCGCCUCCUAAAAAUUCUAGGCAAAACAAGUACUGGGUCCAGCACCAAAAUAAGGUUUACCCCUUCCACACAGAGUGGACACCUACACUACUUCGACUACUACUAAAACAGAACAUGAUACAGUUGCCAGAGGCCAAUACUGCGGAGUCGGCUGGGCAGGAGGCAAAUGAGAAGUACUGUGCCUAUCACAGGAGGGUAUGACACCCUACUUAUGACUAUUAUAAGCUCAAUGACACGAUCGAAGCCCUUAUCAACAAGGGUCAGAUAAAGCUCGAAGAGUUGAAAAGAGCAUUCGGGGCAACUGAGGUUUCCCACAUAGUCACGAUCCAAGAGGACGAUGGGGCACCUGCUAUCCUUCGUGCAUUUUUCUCCAUAAUGCUCGAAGAAGGGCUCGUCACUCCCAAGUCAGCAAGGCAGCCCAAGCUCCUGUCUCCAGGAACCAAGAACCUCUGGUGCGCGUAUCACCAGAUACGAGGCCAUGACAUCAGCGAAUGCAUUGGUUUCCACAAGCUCUUGGCAGAAAAGAUGCAGCAGUGUCAGGAAGUUCAAGGUAACCCAGAAGAACACCCUCGAGUCCCUCUUCCGCAUGAGCAAGAAGACCUCUUGACGCCAGCCCAAGGAAGCACUGAGCUAGACCCUCUGCAGGCCCUCUUCAAGGCAAUGCUCCAACAAGGCCUUGUCACUGCCAAGCCUACUAGGCAGCCGAGGCGUCUUACCCAAGGGACGAAAAAGCUCUAGUGCCCAUACCACCAAGUAUGGAGCUACGAACUCAAUGAAUGCUCUAGGUUUGAAGCUAUAGUCACAGAGAAAGUCCAGCAGGGCCACAUCGUUUGUGCGGUUCUCCCGAAACGUGUCUAGGCCAACGCUCCCAUUCUAAAGAAAUCCACACCACCAACCCCUCCUAAGUAUACGCUGGACCCUUCAUAGCCUUUGACCUCUCAGCCCUGGAAAGUCUACCAUGGGUGGAGUAGGCUCAAAUCCUUGAAACGUGAGGCAGUCUACCAAGCAAGGGCUACUCACCAGCCUGAUAGGGUGAUCCAUACACCCCCUCAAGGAUCUCAAAGGAGACGGCAGGCACCUAGGUUGGCCCGCCAAAGGAAUCAUCCUCCUCAGCCAUCAGUCGAGGAAGAAUUCCUCAGGCCCCUUCCUCCACUGCUGACCUUGCAAGACUUUAUCACAGGCGCAUCUCACCUCAUCCUUUCGUCGGACAUCCCCUAGUCACCAAGAGCUCGAGAUUCCUCCGAUAUGGGUGACGACGUUAAAAGCAACCCACGACGGUCAAACCCAAGGCAAGAUCUAAAAUAUCCCCUUGGCACGUCCAACUCUGGCGACGACGUAAAAGCCGCCCGGAACGUUCUAACUCUUCUUCUCCUCCCUCCUCUUUUAUUUUCUCCACAGGUGCAGCUUGACGGUGCCCAAAAUUCGACACUCUAAACAAAGAGUUCAGAGACACUAGCCUCACCCAGCCACAACAUGAACACCUCAGAGAGAUGCUGACUCAGGUGGCUAGAUUCUUGACAGCCAUCGACGCCUUGUCAACCCGAGAAAAAAUCGAGUCAUCUUUAGGCUCAUGUUCCAAAGAAGCCUCCCACAUGGUGCAGAUCUUGGAAGUACCAACUAACACGGGGCAAAUGGGUCUAAGAUCGGGGAAGAAGCUACGGCCCUCACCUCAAAAGCUCAAGACCCUCAAGUUUCCUAAUUCUCCGCUUUUCCCCAAACCUCAACCUCAAACCUCUGCAUCCCUAAUACAAGUUCCUAUUACUUCCUCAUCAACCCAUACCGCACCUGUUAAACAACAAAGUCAGCCGGUGUCGCAAACCUGUUCCUAAGCCUACCCGACCGCCCACACCAAUGACAGGAUCAGGAACACAUAAGACUAAUGAGGAUAAAGUGAGAUAUGAUGUAAUUGGUCACUUGAUAAAGCUUUCAUCCCUUCUGAGCAUCUAUGAUGCCCUUCUGCUGUCUAGGGACUACCGUAUGGCUCUGGUUCAAGCUCUUUCUAACCCAGAGGUAUACGAGACUGAAGUGGAACCUAUUGAAGUUGACUCGGCCAUCUUGAGUGGGUGCUUGGCAAUCUCUUUUUCCGAAUACGACCUUCAGUAGGGAGGAAAAUUCCACAAUCACUCCCUCUUCGUGAAUGGUGAACUUCACGCCUACGCUCUUAAUCGGAUCAUGCUAGAUGGAGGGUCAGCAGUCAACCUGAUCUUAACAAGGAUCCUCACCAGAUUGGGAUUAGGGUCUGACGACCUCAUGCCUACCCACAUCAAUGUGUAAGGGUUUAACCAGUCAGGGGAAAAGCCAACCGGCAUAGUGCGCAUUCAUCUUAAGAUCGGUGAUCUCAACAAUUACACCCAAUUUCAUGUGAUCGACAUCGAUACGUCUUAUAACGUCCUGCUUGGUCAUCCAUGGCUUCACCACCAGGGAGUAGUUCCUUCCACACUCCAUCAAUGCUUCAACUAUAGCCGAGAUGGAAGACAACACACAGUCUAUGCUGAUAAAAGACCGUUCCCUGUAGCUGAGACUCACUAUGCCGACGCUAAGUACUAUUUCACAGAACCUCCAACAUCAGAAAAGUCAAAGCAUGACGAUUGGAAGCCUGUGAGAGAGACAUGACCUUCGUCUCAUGAUGACGUUGAGGAUCUGGGGAGAAUGAUCACGGAGAUGUUCAAAGAAGAGGAAAGACAGGGCAAAACCCUCCCUUUGACCCCUAUCCACCCAAGCAUACCUUGCCACCUCUCUGAGGUCGUUGUGUCCUCUUCCGAAGACAAAGCUUCCCCCUCUACUUCUCACUUGCCAAAACGAAAUGACGAGCUAGAAGCAGCCCCCGAGGGUAACAUAUACAUCAGACCAGCAAAAGGUCCUGCAUGUCCCCAUCGCUCUUCUAGAAGAAAAACUGGUAUACCAACCACCAAGGAAGGUACUCCAAGUUCCGGCCUCCUUAAACAAAGCGAGCAGCAAUAGCUAAAAGAGGAUCCUACAUCUUGGGGGUUGUUGAAGAAGUACAGGCAAAUAAGAGUCAUUCCUCUGGCUCUCAGAAACAAGACUGCAUGGCAGAGCUGAGAAGCGAGGUUCGUAAUCUCCAGAGCCAAUUGGAGAUCAUGCGCAUCAUUUUAAAGUAUUUAAAGGGGUUUGUCCCGGAGACUAAGACUUAAGACGAGCUCAAGACCAAUGCACCUCGAAUAAAAGUCAAAGCUCCCCCAGACUGGAGCAUUUACAGCGAGCAGGCUCAUCAAGUCAUGAGAACCAUGAAUUAUGAGCCCCUCUGCAAUCAAACACUAAGGGGUGAGGAAGCAAACGCUCCCCCAUUCGAAGUCAUUAAAGCCACAAUAGGUUGUCACAAGCCAAAGCAAGGGGUGGGAUAUUAUUUUCAUCUCACACUAACAAAGGAUGAAAAGAAAUAAAAACAGAAGAAGACAAAAGAGUGAGAGAAAUGUCGCACAACACUCUAAGCAAAAAGUGGCAUUUCAUUCAUAAAACCAAAAAUUUAUACAAUUGUCGACAUAAUCAAUACCAAGAAUUGGUGUACAAAGAGUUAUAAAUGAGAGCGUUCAUUCAAGCCUCAAGACUAAGCCUAUAAUGUUCUUGUUGUAAGCACUUGAUUCCAUCCUUCAGGGCUGCCGCUUGAUGGAGGGCAAACUUUCUGAUCAAAGGAGGAUAUUCCCAACGUACCAACUGAGGAGAGAAUGGGUCUUUUCCUACCUCAUGGGCCACAUCAAGUAAGCUUUCUAAAUCGUUGAUGCUACAUUCAAGAAUCGCCAUGUCAUUCUCUUUAUCAAAACAUGCGAUUUCUUUAACAAUCGAAGGAACCUCCAAAGGAAAAAUCUCGAAAUCUGGGUGAACGAACUGACCCAUGUGCAAGUUGGUUCUAAGGUUACCCAAGUGUGCCACCGUGGAAUCGGUGACAGUCAAAGGCCCAGGAAAGAACUUAAGUAAAUGCCUAAUAGAGGGAUAUUUCUCAAUAGAAGCUGAUUCUUAUAAAGACAGAACUUCCCGAGCUUGUCGAGCCAUUUCAGUCACCUUCGUUUUGAACAAGUCUGCGCAAGGAACCUCGAAGUCUAAAAGGUUGUCUAUCAGCUUCUUCACCAAAGAGGGGGAGCAUGAUCAACUCAAAGAGAGAAGCCCGACUGAAAAGUUGAUAAGCGGCUCUAAGAAGAUCACGUCCGUUGUCUGCAGAAACAUUACAGCGAUUGAGCCUAGUGAGUUGUGUAGGGAAAUGCAUCAUGGCCUGCAAAACAACAAAGCCUCCCUGAAUAUGCUAGACAAGAGGAUGAAUAACUUGUCCCGAAAAUGAAGUGACUACAAAAGCUAAGCCUAUGAUAGGUUUCCUUCGAUUGAAAGAUGCAUGGCCCCCUCUCAAGGUGGCAAGAGGGAUCGCCUUGUUGCCCAUGAUUAUCAAGUCAUACUCGCUCUCACCUCCAGAGACAAGAAGUUGAGGAGAGGGAUGAGGUUCAUUCUCAGUAGUAAGAGGCUCCUCAUCCUCAACAACCAUAAGGUCCCUACUUGAAGAAGACUGCCUCCUAGCAGCUUUAGAAGCCUUGGCUGAUCGACGAAAAAACAUUUGUUGGUGGACACUAAUUAUUGCCAAGGUUGGGACUAUCGUCAUCUCCCACCAGGAUGGUAUCGUCGCCUCGUAAUCAACAGAGGGCUAUAGCCGGCCCACAACCAAGGCAUAUUAAUGCCUUGCUCCAGUUGUCAGCAUGCAUCACACGUGCGUCCCUUGAAAUCUGGCCACGCCGCCUGACACUUGCGGCAUGGCAUGUCAUCGAGCGUGCGGAGGAUGACCGUUCACCGUCCCACGACCCUCCGUCUUCGUGAUCGUUAUGGUCCCACAACCCUUCGGGUUCCCACCAGCAUUUCUCCUCUCUAUCGGGAAUCCACUCCCGACCACCGGACUCCCCACCUUUUACUGGUUACUGGAGUUAGCGAAAACCACCAGAAGUCCCCAGGAGACUUCCUUGCAACCCCCCAGGCUUUCCCUUCCCUUUGAUUUCCCACUUUAGCAGAUCACCAAAGCUCACCGGAGUUCCACUAAGUUUUUGGUGAGCCCAAUGCAGCCCCUUCUCUUUCUCCUCCAACAACCAGAGGACUAACAGAGCCCUCUGAACUCUCUGUGACCUCCUCAACAGCAGAAUGACCGGAGGAGCACUCGAACGCCGGCUGGGCACCUCUGUAAAUCCUGCUAAGGCCCUAAGAAGCCCUCUUCCUUACACAGAAAGCCUCGGCACUUCUCGAAAAGGUUUGCAACCACAGCACGAAGCUUUGUGACUUCCUGAAGCUUGUCAGAAAAACUCCUAAGGGCCUGUCUCUGCACGUUUUGGCCGAAUAGUUUAUACCAAAAAAUCCCUUGCCAAAGGCUCUAGCUCUCUCUCUCUCUAAAAACUGUUUUACCCUUCGGUAGAACAGUGAAUGGGGUUUUCCCCCUUUUAUACCCAGCGAUACAGCAAACUGCCCUCAACAAACAUGAAAUGACAUUCCAGUCGUUAGUUCUUGAAGGCAGUAAGACCAGGCCGGGUCGGGUCAAGCCUGAGCCUAGAAAAAGUCAUCACCGCAAGCUUCAUUCAAAGGAUAGCGUUGCGCGCUCCAUCAAAGGACUAUCACCGCGCGCCUCGUCUGGAGGUUAUCACCGCAUGCCUCGUCAAGGGGUCAUCACUGCAUGCCUCAUGAAGAGGUCAUCGCCGCGCAUUUCGUCGGGAGCUACCGUCGUGCGCUUCACCAAAGGGCCUAAUGUCGUGUGCUCCAUCCGACACUUAGUGCCACGCGCAUGUCGUGGCACUCUUAGCCAGACCAUCAUCCUGUACUCUCAAGAAGUUCAUCCCCUGCGCCACAACCUCACUCCUCAAGGAGUCCAGCCUCUAGUGAUGGCUCUACUCCCUAUGGAGUCACAUUCCCUCACCACGCCAUAGUCUAUGCUGCAUGACCUUAAACUGUACAGCCGAAGUCUAGCUGCACGACCUUAAACUGCAAGGUCCAAACUAUAUGACCUUAAACUGUAGUAGUAGUCUAGUUGCAUGACCUUAAACUACAUAGUCCUCAUUUCAUGAUUCUAAACUGUAGCAGAGGUCUAGUUGCAUGACCUUAAACUGCAAGGUCCAAACUAUAUGACCUUAAACUGUAGCGAUGGUCUAGUUGCACGACCUUAAACUGCAUAGUCCUCGUUUCAUGACUCUAAACUGCAACAAAGGUCUAGUUGCACGACCUUAAAUUGCAAGGUCCAAACUAUAUGACCUUAAAUUGUAGUGGUGGUUUAGUUGCAUGACCUUAAGUUGCAUAAUCUUUGUUUCAUGACUCUAAACUGUAGCGAAGGUCUAGUUGUACGACCUUAAACUGGAUGGUCCAAACUAUAUGACCUUAAACUGUAGCGGUGGUCUAAUUGCACGACCUUAAACUGUAUAGUCCUUGGUUCAUGACUCAAAACUGUAUGACUAUGGUCCAGCUGUGUGACCUUAAACCAUAGUGCACAUUCUGGCCGCAUGACGUUAAAAUGUUUAGCAUGACGCAAACUACAUAACCUUAAAUUAUAGCGGAGGUCUAGUUGCACGACCUUAAACUGCAUAGUCCUAACUGCAUUACUUUAAACUGCAUGGCCACGGUUCGAGCUACAAGGCCCUAAAAACUGUAACGCAUGGUGUAACAAAUGGCCCAUGCGCACAAAUCCAACCGAGAGAUAGACCACUCCUUCGCUAAAAGGGUAUCUUAGCAAUAUCCCCAGUGGAGUUAGAUGCACGCAAGGUUCGUACCUACCCCCUUAACCCCCAAUGGGCGUGUUCCGCACCAACAUCCCAAUAAGGGUCACAUCCUACUGCGACCUGCUAUCCCUAGGGAGUUAGGGUCAUCCUUAUCCCUUCAACCCUUAAUGAGGUUCAUCUGUGCUAUGGCCUGUCAUCCUUAUCGGAGUUACGUACACCCCAUUCCUCAUUAUCCUUGUGGAGUCACACUGGCCCCCCUAACCCCCAAUGAAAUCUCUUUCGUCUGCCACUCCUCGAGUGCUUCCAUCUCCAUCUAAAACUUCCAUCUCCUAGGGAUAAACUGUACAGCCACGGUCCAAACUAUAUGACCUCAAAUUGUAGUGGAGGUCUCGUUGCACAACCUUAAACUGCAUGGUCCUAGUUGCAUGACUUUAAACUGCAUAACCACAGUCCAAGCUAUAUGACCUUAAACCAUAAUGCUCGUCUUGGCAGCAUGACGUUAAACUACUUUGCCAGGUCCAGGAGGCAUGACCUUAAAUACGCCCCCACAUACGAGCAUACACCUUUUACGCGCAUCUUCAUGCACGCCUUCCCUAAUCGACCCGUUCUUGGGCGCACACCACCUCCAUUUCCUCCUCGGUGAGUCUACAUAUGUGCACACACACCCUUUGCGUGCAUCUUUAUGCACGCCUUCCCUAGCCAGCCCAUUCGUGUGCGCGCACCACCUUCAUCAUCAUUACCAUCCUUUCCCUCAGUGAGUCUUACCCAUGCUCACCAAAUGGCGAACCCUUCCGCAAGCCAUACUUGCCGUCAGCUAGUGGGUCACCAUUGCUCACCCACCAUCCAUCCAUCAUCAACUCUUCACAUGGCAACUUCAUGCCAUCUUCCUAAGUGAGUCAAAGUCAUCAUUAAGCUCACUCUAUGGCUUCCACAAACUACCAUUCAUCACCACUACGGUUCAGCUAUAAGACUCUAAACUAUAGAGCACAUCCUGGCUGCAUGACGUUAAAAGGCUUCACACAGGUCUUGAAGGCACGACCCUAAACAUGCGUUCUCAAAAAAAUGGGCAUGGUGUACACCUAGACAAGGGAACGUUAUGAGUAAAAAUGAUGGAUAGGCAUGGUCAUGAAAUCAUGAGUAAGAGCGUUCCGUAGAAAACAAAAUCCAGGCACGGUGAAAACCCAGAAAGGGCAUUGCUAGUAAAAAAGGAUGAAAAGCGUGGACGUGACUGUAGGUCAUGAGUAAAAGAGCCUAGAAAUAACAGGAGUUAGCGAAAACCGUCUUCACGGUGCCACUUCCCCUAUUCAAGUGAACCAACAAGACAGGAUGACACGCGGCUGCCGCCUCAGUCGACGUUCAGUUUCCAAACAAUCAAGAUCCUGGCUAAUGAGGUCUGCCUAAAAUCCUCAAAAGCCAGCAUCUAAUCGCAACACUAGAUGGCUCAUCGGGGAGUGAGAGCCACAAAGAUCUCCUAAGAACAUGGCUCAUCAGGGGGUGAGAGCCGCAUAAGAUCCCCCACGUUUCAACAUGGCUCAUCAAGGAGUGAGAGCAGCAAAAGAUCUCCCAGCAAUCAUGGCUCAUCAAAGGGUGAGAGCCGCAUAAGAUCCCCCACGUUUCAACAUGGCUCAUCAAAGAGUGAGAGUCACAUAAGAUCUCCCAGUAAUCAUGGCUCAUCUGGGGUUGAGAACUGCAUAAGAUCCCCCACAUUUCAACAUGGCUCAUCAGGGUGUGAGAGCCGCAUAAGAUCCCCCAUGUUUCAACAUGGCUCAUCAAGAAGUGAGAGCCGCAUAAGAUAUCCCAAGAGUCCUUGAGGGUGAGGAUGAUGACUAAGAGAUCCCUCCGAAAAUGCUAAGGACCAUCACGAAGGUAAGAAACUGACGAAGCCAGGUUCUAACCCCCCACAGGCUUUUGGGUACGUCUCGCCAAAACCCCCUAGCCUUCAUGGGACCAGACUUUCAGGAUGGGUCAGAAGCCCCAGACUGGACCCCGCUAGACGGGACCUACAGAGACAUCCUGAGCAUCAAAAGCAAACUUGGUGUAGCAGCGAACAAUGCCGACUAAAUGUUCGUAGCAUUUGACCUUCCAAAAAAGGCCUGAUAGUCCCUUGAGGGUGAGGACUUCGAUAAGAACUCUCAAAAUUUUUAAAUGAUUGCACUUCUCGAUUCUCUCGAAGCACAACAUUCGACAGGGCAUGUUGUUGGAAGGUAUUUUUCAUCAACAUGGGGCCCCCGCUCAAUAAAGGCCUAGCAAAUAGUGGAAAUUAUGAGAGUCUCAUAAUAGCCCUAGAACUAGCCAAGAUCUUCAUGAGGUCUCUCAAAGUUUCCUGCCAAGUUUUGUCACAUUCCGACAUGUUUAAGGCAAUGCAGAUUGAGUAACAGUUCCAGUAAAAUCGGCCUCUAGCACCCUGAAACAGACCCUAUAACUAGAGCUACAUUUUUUAUCUCUCAAUUUUCUAUGGGACCACUACCAUUGGAACCGACACAGUUGAAAACCCCUAGUGUUCAAAUUUCAGCUCUAACGGACACUCCAAGAAGAAGUUAUAGGAAAAAGAGUAAAACAGGAGGGUCGCACGCUAUUCCUGUGCGGCCACCCUACAACUCCACACCAUGGAAGGGACAAUCACCAUUAGUGAAUUUUGACACUCAUAUCUCACAUGUACCAAGUGGGAUCGAGCUCCAUUUUGGUGAGCAUGUUCGUCUAGUCAAGACGAGCGAUUUGAUAUAUUGCAUGUCCCGUGAUGACAGCCGAGCACGAAGAAAAGCUAGAGAGAAGUUGCUGAUUCGUGAAGAAAGUGCUGGAAAUUCAGCAGCGUCGUAUCUCGCUCAAGUGGCCGGAUCAUGCUGCUCGCGAGCUUGAUUGGCACAAGACUAAUUCCAUUGCGGGUGUAAGGUCUCAGGGUAUCUCUGACCCGAACCCCGUACAUGAUGAAUGCUUGGAUUCUGCACACGAAGCCGAUGAAGAUACUGUAAAUUUCAUCACUGGAAUUCCAGAUUCUGACCAAAAUUCCAAAGUUACGAAAUCUUCGUUCGGGAACGAAAUCAAACUACGUUUGUUGCCCCACGAUCGUAAUGACAUGCUCAGUGUAGUUCAGUGAAGAAAUCAGCAAAACACAUCAAGAAACGAGUACACUAUCGAUCCAAAAUUUCAAGAUCCACUCAAAUUUUAAGUCACAUGAUCGAGCACUAAAAAUAUGAUCAGUAGCUCGAAGUUGGUAUCAAAUCGAUUGUCAUGUUGAGCCCUAUAAGAAAACAAUCAUAUUACCAUCUACCGAGCAUCAGAACGACCUCGGAUCAUCCAUGCAAGAUCACGCAAGUUCUAGGGCGACACAGGGACUGUUAUGGAAGUCCAUGGAUUGUUAGGAAGGGGCAAAUAUGUCAUUUUGCACCUUAUUUUAUAAUUCCUUUUAAUUCAAUUUAAUCCUAAUUUCUAGCAAUUAGGGUUACUUUGGUCAUCCACUCAUGUUUGGAGCAAAUUCUAUAUAUACGUACCAAUAUUGUACGUAGAAAAGACACACAUACAAGAUCCAUCUCCUUGCAAAAGAGAGAGUUUUUACUGAAUAUAGUUUCUCUUUCUUCCCACUGUUGUGUCACGCUUGAGAGAGAGAGUGAGGUGAGAGAAAAUUUUGAUCGGUACCCUUAGGUUCAAGGUAAAUCUUCUCUCUCUCUUCUUUUUCUUUUCUUCUCUCUCUCCUCUUUUCUCUCUUCUUCUCUAUCUUCUUAUUCUUCCCUGUCUGAGCUCUCCUCAGAGGCCAUGCACGGUAGUGACAGUGUCGUGCAUGCCUCUCUAGUAGCCUCAUAGGUCACACAUGGCGAUUACAAGUCCAUGCGCGCAUCUCUCUCCCUCUGUUCUAUCUCUUUCGCGAGGCCAACAGACGGCAUUGCUCAUAUCCGUCGGUAGACGUAUCCUAAGUGCCUCAGCGAAGGACGUCGAUAACGAAGCCUAUCGCUGCCAGCAAGGGGUUCACCUUGUCGUGUGAUAGUUGCAGAUGGCAAUACCCAUCGCCGCCUGCAAAGGGUCGAGGUAAUACUCAUCACUGCGCAUUGGUUUCUUCUGCGCUUCCCUGCGCCCAUUGUCGUGCACCCUACGAGAAGUAAUCGCCGCGAGACCUAUGAGAAGUUAUCACGGUGCUCCCGUUAGGAGCUAUCACUGUUCGCUAGGGACAUGUCGCCUCCUCGUGCUGCCAACGACAAUGCCCAUUGCCGUUUGGAUUCUUCCUCCCUCUGUCGUCUCUCUCUCUUAUCUUUAUCUUCAUCCUUUUCUCUUCUAACUUUACUGAGGGUAGAUCUAGCUUAGCACCGCCAUCUCGGUCUAGGUUUUGAGUAGUAUUGCCACUGUGCUGGUUCUGAGGACCAUGCCCAUCUUGCUACCACUCCGAAUUGAUAAUCAUCCGGAUAUCACGCUAGCGUCGCCUCUCCGUCGAGUUUUUCUUCUCCUUUCUAUCUUUAUCUAAAACUUUAUGUUUCAUCAUGCACUCACAUGAACCCUAAGACAAGGGUGGGUCUUCUUGACCCUCCAUAGAAGUGUUGUGCAGAAAACAAGAGGAUUGAAGGUCAAGGGAGGCGAUUUCGAACCAGCUAAAGCAGCUGAAGGGCUUCUUCGUGAUCUAAGAGGGUGCCCACGCGAGCCAGCCCGAGUAAGUCCCUAAUCUACCUAAAAUUCGUCUCUCAUCAGUUGAUAUACCUGCCCUUGCUCUCGAGCAAGGUUCUGAGAGAGCGAUCUCAAACCAUGGGUUCACUAGAAACCCGAGGUACAUGCCACCAGAUCAUCUAGAUCUGUAAGGCGAGAUCGAGGCACCUAAUCAAAGAUCAAUUUUAUUUUUGAAGAAGGAUUCAGUGGAUGGUCUAAUGGUGUUAACGUUGAGUUAGGAACUCAACUCAAGGCGAUCUUUCUGGUUCUCAAUUCUUCUUAAGGUUUAGAAUCUUUGUUUGGAGGUCUCCCAUUUAUGCGGAAUAACCUAUUUGGAGGCACAAAUAAAGUGACUUAUCAUUCGUGGAUUAAAGAUUGAGUAUAUUCCUAAUGUUACUUCUAUUCAAGGGUGAGCUAUGUAGCCCUACAUGGUGGAAUUUGAGAAUCUCUUUGGUGGCUUACUAAAUAGCCGGAUUUUCAAUUUCGGGAAAUGAUGGAGAUGAUCAUGUAUGCAUGGUCUCCUUUCUAAAUAAUCAAUUUAAGAGGGAGUGUUAAAAUUGUUAAAAGUGUAUUUUUUAGAAAGUAUAUUAGUUUUUAUUUUAUUCUAUCAUGAGUGAUGUAGUAAGGUUCCACUUGUAAGUUUGUGUGGUAGGAAGUUGUAAAACUACUAGGUGGUUAAUAUUUAUAGUUACAAGUAGGUAGUUAUUGUAGGAAAUAUGGUUGUAAAAACCUUUAUUUAUAGAGAGGUGUGUGGUGAGAAAAUUUGGUCACAUGUAUUAAGGUUAAUCUUGGCUAUCAAGAUUGUAAUGCUUUUGUGUACCCUUGGGUGACAUGUGUUAAGGUUAAUCGUGUAUAUUGAGAUUGUAAUGCCUUUGUGUACCCCAUGUUUUUCUUUAGUGAAGUUUUUCUUGCACUUCAUCUUGGUUCUCCCUCUUCUUUCUAUUUGCUUGUGAGUCUUGUAGUAUUGUCACGCUAAUUGAAAAGUAGAUUGUUCCAGUAUUGUGGCAUCCGUCUUUCUCUACAAUAGUUUUUAUCAAUGAUAACCGAAGUGGCGUCAACACAAAGUUUGAAUUUUGGAUGGAUAUUCUAGAAUCUAAAGGUUUCAAAUUAAUCGGACUAAGAUAGAGUAUGUGGAAUGCAAGUUUAGUAAUAAUAGAAGUAGAUAUGAAGAAGUAGAUAAAAUUAACAUACAAUAAGUACCAAAAAGAGUACACUUUCGAUAUGUUGGGCCUAUAAUCUAAGAAAAUAGAGAGAUUGAGGAAGAUGAAUCAUAUAGAUAUAGAGCUAGGUUGAUGAAGUGAAGAUAUACUACUGAAGUUUUAUGUGAUCGUCACAUGCCAAUGAAGUUGAAGGGGAAGUUCUAUUUGACAGCUGUGAGAUCAAUUUUGCUUUAUUGAGUGGAAUGUUAGACGGCCAAUAAAUAAUAUUCCGAUUGGAAGAGUGUAGUAGAGAUGACGAUGUUGAGAUGGAUGAGUGACAAGAUAAUAUGGGGAUAGAACUCAAAAUGAAUACAUUUGGGAGAACUUAGGUACAGCCUCAUUAGGUGAUAAGAUGAGAGAAAAUAGACUUAGCUUUGCCAUGUGCAGCACAUACCCAGUAUAGUACAUGUUAGGAGGUAUGAGUUGGUUGAAAUAGAAUGCUCAAAAGGGUAAUAGUUAGGUCUAAAAAGAUAUGGUUGGAAGUAGUGAAAAAAAAAUGGGGACUUAUAGCCUCACUAAAGGAAUGACUAUUGAUAGAGAAAAACAACGAACCAGAAUUAUAUAGCCCACCCAAAUGGUUGGAAAAUGGCACUAAUGAUGAUGACUUAUGGUCCGAGAACCAUCCAAAUUUCUAAGGGAUUCUAGUUUCUAGACCCACGAGGAUAGCUCCUUUCGUUAGUCCAUGUUGAGCAUGGAAUGUGCAAGCGGUAUGUGCCAACCACUACGAAUAUGCUUGACUGUUUGGUGCGAGUCUUUAGGGAAAUUGAAAAUUUAGGAAAUAAAAAUUUUAUGAAAUAUAUUUUUUCUGUUUGGCAAAGGUGAUUUUAUUUCCUUUGUUUGGUUGAAUAUGAGAAAUUAAAAACACGCAUGACUCACUUAUUUGAAUAUUUGUCUAGUGAAGGAAACCUCGUUUUUGUCAAAACCUAUCCAGCAAUACUAAUGAAAUGAACCGUUCAGAUAAAAACUUAUUGAUUUAUUAUUAAUAUCGCAAGUUCUUAUUAUUUAUAGUGUUCCCUGGUUAAGGUUGAUUAGCAUGGCUAUUCUAUUAAUCAAUUAGAGAUUGAUAAUUGUCUAUUGAGGAUAAUUUUUUUUGGUAUAACCUAUCCAAAGUCAUAUUAACAAAAUGGGCAGUUCCAUUUAAAAAUUAGUAUUAUUUUAAGGGAAAAUUGUAUAUACUCCCCUUUCUGAAAUCAACUUGCUAGACAUCUCAACCCCCAAUAUUUAUUUUCACGUAUCCUAAAUCUUAAUAUUAUUUUUUUGUAUUUAUCUCCGAGUCAAAAAAUCAACUAAUUUAAAAUGAAAAUACACUUCAUCUCUCUCUCGAUCUCUCCACCCACCUUCUAUCUUUUCCCCUCUACCUGCCCUCUUUCUCUCUACCCACCCUCUCUCUCACUCUCUCUACCCCUCUCUUUACCUAUCGUCUCUCCAUCUCUCUUUCUCUCUCCAAUCACCCUCUCUUUCUACCUGCCCCCUUUUCUCUCUACUCGCCCUCUCUCUACUCCCUCUCUACCCGUCCUCUCUCACUUUCUCUCAUGUUCCGCAUUUUCCUCCUCCUCUUCUCGUUCCCCAAUAGGAAACCAUCCGCUAAUAGGGAGCCAUUGUUUCCAACACUUGGUACCCAACUUCAAACCCCACAAUUGAAGCCAGCUCCUACCAUCUCUUCUGUCACAUUUCCAGCCAAUAUUUCUGGCCUAAGCUAUCCAAACUCGCCAGAAAGCCACCCGAGAAUCACUCAUUUCCAGCCAAUAUUUCUGGCCUAAUCUAUCCAAACUCGCCAGAAAGCCACCCGAGAAUCACUGGAAAAAUCACAGUCACCGUUGUUGGCUUACUAUAUCAGGAAUCUCAUCGAAAUUCAGGCAAUGGGGUUCCAUAUAAAAGGGUCUCGAAGCUCAGAUCUAGUAGCCUGAGACUUUUUUCGACGGCAAAUUUUGGCAACAAAGUUGGGGUCUCAACAAGCUCUGAUGUGCUUUAUUUCACAUUGUUAGUGUUCUCUCCUUGCCAGAAAAACAUCGACUCCCAGAAAACAAGCCGGAAUUUCGACACAGCCCAGAAAUUAGGCCAUUGCUGCCUCUAUCCAAGCCAGUAUCUGGUGAGAAUGUGGCUUUUUUCAGCAAUAUUUGGGCUUUGUACGGUGAGAAUGUAGCAUUUUCUGAUGGGUCUUUGACAAAUUCAGGGGAAUUCGAGGAUGACUUCUAUUCACUAAGCAAGUAUAGAAAGGGUGGGUAGAGAGAGAAAGAGAGAGAGGGUGGAUAGAGAGAGUGGGAGAGAAGGGCACUUUUGUUUUUAAACUUGUUGACUUUUUUACACGAGGUACAUAAAAUAAAAGUGGUGUUGACGUUUAGGGUGCGAGAGAAAAAAUAAUGGGGUAAAAUUUUAGAAAGUUAAUUUUUGCGAGUAUUUAUAAUUGUUUUUUAUUUUUAUAAUACCACAACUUAUUCUUAUUAAUAAAAAACUAUUUAGGAAAAAGGGUUGGGUUGUCGUAGUAGCACCUCCACACUUGAAUCAUCUUGUUGUGGUUUUCAUUCCCACUACUAACGCCACCUUCUAACAUCUUCAAAGAACGAACACCUUACGCCUAAUCUACCAAAAAAUAAUUCUAAUAAUAGUCACCGUUAUCUUUGAUUAAAAUGGCUAUGCAAUCAAUAUAUCUCUCUCUUAUCCUUUUUGCUUUCUUUAAUUGUUGUUCUCUUAUGUACAAUUUCUACUUACCCCUGUUUGGAUGAUAUACUAUUUGAAUUAAAGUCAAACACAAACAGGCCAAGGCUCUAUAUGUUGAAAAAUAUCGGAUGUGUUUUGGAUAAGGAAAAAGUUUAUAUAAGGAUGCUACUUUAUAAUGUAGAACUACCUUAAAAAAUCCAUCGGAAAAGAUAGUUUUAAUGUUGAAAAACCGUUUGAUUGAUCAUCUCGACAUCGAGAUGUAAGACUAUGAAAAAUAAAAAGAUUUUAAGUCUCAGAAAUAGUGCAUUUACAACAUAUUAUCUAUACCGUCCAUUUUCAAGAUUUUCAUAUGUUUAUAGAUCUACUUGAUUUUAACCAUUUUUUAAAUUUUAAAUUUUAUGAUUAGAUAUAAAAAUAGAUUUUGAGAUAAUCCUAAAAACAUUUUACAUCAAAAUUAUAUACCAUAAUAAAAUUUGAAGGAGCACCUUACCUCUACACCUACGGAUGCAUCCGUAUGCAAACUAUACCCUUUGGAUGAUAUAGUAUUUGAAUUAAACUCAGACAUCAACAGGCCAAGGUUCUAUAUGUUGAAAACGAUCGGGAAUAUUUCAAAUAUAUUCCAUUGAUAUUGGGGGUACAAAUCCUUGGAAUCGGUGAGAAGAUGAUUCUUGAAUCUUAUCCAUGAAAGUGACUGGUGAUAAUGCCAUGUUGUGCAUCAAAAUGACAAUUUUUUUGUCCAUGAGGAUAUCAGUAUUUUAGAGAGACAAAGCUCCUGGUUAUAUUCAACCUGAGACAAAGUUCCUGGUAUGUGUAACUUGAGAGAACAACGACCAAUGAAACCUAAUAGCUUUCAUCUUUUAGGAAACAUAAACAGAGAGACAUAAGUAACAAUGGAGGCAAAAAAAAAAAGAAGCAAGAAACUAAUGCGUGUGGAUUGAUCCUAUUGUACGACGUUCGUAGGGUUUUGAAGGGCAAGAGGCACUGCAUCAAGAUCACUUGACUUGCACUGAUACCAAUGUUAGGUACGUAAGUAGAAGGAGAUAUUUACCACUAGAUUAUAAGAGGGUCUGGACUGUAUAUCGUAGAGAGACUAGGGUUUCUCAAAAACGACCGAGAAUAAUUUUCUAGGUAUAUUUUUUUGAAAUCUUUCAGAAGUGAUUUUCAAAAUCUAGGAGCAAAGAAUGUACACAAAUGACAGUUGUAAAUAAUAUAAUUUUUUUAAAAAAACCAUUUUAAAAAAAAUAAAAAUCUCUAAAAACCAUUUUAAAGAAAUAAAAAUUUAAAAAUUAAAAAUUAAAAAUUAAAAAUACAUGGUGCAUAUGGGGCACCAACGGCCUUUCCAUCAGUCUUAAAUGUUACUUACCUCGUUCCAAAAAGAUUUGCUACGGUCACUUAUGCCCAUACUUUUAUUUGUGUUUGGGAAAACCAUGAGCUCUUUUGUUUAAUAAGAUAAGUUUAAUUAUCUAUUUUUAUUUUUAUUUUUAUUUGGUCUCCAUUGAGGGCAUAGUUUACCUCUAAUCUCUCAGUCAUAAAACCUAUUUAGGAUAAUCUUUUCAAUUUGGAAUUUUGAGAACUACUUAAGAAUUACGAGAUAAUUAUUUUUUAAAAGAACUGAAAAUUGAGUUUUCUAGCACUUAGAUCCUACCACCUAAAAAUUGGAUGGUCUCUAUUCAACUUAAGAUAUUAUAUUUUUAAGUGCUUACAGAGUACAAUUAGAUUUAUUUAUUUAUUUUAGGUUAAUCUAUAGGUUGAAGAUGUUACAUCGUUAAAUUUUGGGGUCCUAAAAUUAAUUUUAAGUGGGGUUUUACCUGAGGGAGUAAAUGGACAUUCUACUCUUCCAAGAAUAAAAUAUCUUUUUAGCUAGUAUUUUUAGUAAUAUAUUAUUAUCAAAAGAUUUUAUGUUCCUAGAAUAGCAAUACCAUCCAUUUUCUCCCUCGGGUAGGGCUAUAAAAUGGACUAGGUCAGGUCCGGUUCGACUUUGACCCAUGCAUGACCCUACUAGGUCUAAAUUAGACCAACACCUAACCUAGACUUGGGUUGGGUCUUGUCAAUUGGACCCAGACGUUCGGGUCUGGGUCUAGAAAUUAAAUUAUAUAUAUUUUUUUGUUUUUUAUAGUUUUUAUGAUAUAAAAUUUAUAUAUCUUAUAUUUGUAUGUAUCUUAUAUUUGUAUAUACCGGGUUAGGUCACGAUCAGGGUCAACCUGACCCAACCCAAUUACACUCCAAGAUGGAUCCAAACCAGGACCUGUCCUAGUUCAGGUCGAGGUGAAGUGGACCAAGACUAUACCCUUAGAGUGUCUAGGUCAAGACCCUAUCCCAGUUGUUGGGGUGACCCGACCAUAUUUCCCACCCUUACCCUCAGGUAAAUAUCUAAUCUAGGAGUGCUUUCAAGAGCUUAAAGUUUGGAGAUGUAACAUCCUCCUAGCAACGAAUCUCGAAAAGAAAAACCCAACUAGUACUUUCGAUGUGCCUCUGAAAACAUAAUGUCUCAAAACUUUCACCCAAGGACUAACUAUACAAUAUGCUUCCGUAGAAGAAUGGUGUAUGUGGUUCUAACUAGUCAUAGAACUAUUUUUUCAUGAGCAUUUACUACACAUGGAACACUUUGGCAAGCCGUGUGACUGCUUUUGUUUUCGAAACCCAUUUAUUUAAAGGAAAAGUAGUUUAUGCUCCAAGGGCCGCAGAAGUACAUUUGUGCCUCCCGAAGCAUCACAUAUGUGAAGUUGUGGUUUCUCCUAUAAAGUGCAAAAUCAAAUUGUGCUUUCUCCAAAGGGCAAAAUCAACAGUUCAAAAAUUUCCUUCAAAAUUUUUCAUUUUAUUUUUUUAAAUUCAAUGUAUUUUUAAGCAUUCAUGAUUUCCAUGUUAGAAACUAUAUAUACAUAAAGCAUGAAGUACAAAAUCCAACUCCAAAAUAAAUCAUGAAAAGGGGAUGCAUAUCUACAUAUGAGUCCUAUGAGUCAUAAAAACCGUUUAUUUAAUCAAUGCAAAAUGCUCACCACUAAGAAAGAAAACACUUCUUUGUCAUGCUCUUCUAUUUGAAAUUUUGAGAGAAUGGAGAAAACUACCCUGGGCUUCAAACUUACAGUGAAGGUUUGACAAACUCUUUCAGUCUCUCCCUUUUUUAUCCGAGUGCACACUGGCAAAUAUCUAUGAUCAUAGGAAUUCAUGGUAUACUUCCUAAAGGUUGAAUUUUGUAACAACAUGUUGUUAACCUGUCUUGCUUGGUUGAAAUUUUCUUUUUCUUUUAGGAUAUAUGUUUGUUUUCCGGAAGACGUGAUUUUGAAAAACAUAUCUUACAGAGAAGUGGAUACUGCAAGUUUCAUGGUCACCUAUAGAACUUGCGGUAUCCACUUUUUAAUAUUAAAAUGACUGUAUGUCGAUACCGCAAUAUCCACUUUUAGUGUAACACUUCCCGUUAUCAAUCAGGGAAGUGCUACAAUAUUGGAAAAUGUAGUUUUCAAAAUCAUGUCUUCCAAAAAUCAACCAAAUUGAUUUUUAUAUUUAUAACCAUGUUCAUCAAGGUAGAGAUAAUAUAUUUGCAAAUUUUGCAAGUAGAAAUGGUUCUUUCGAUACCUUAAAUCUUUCAACAUUUUGACUUAAUCAAUUGAUUGGCAAUCUACAAAGAUGAGUACGGUAAAGAAUUAGACUGCUUAGUCGAGGUGGAGAUGUGCAACUAGAGUUUUAGGCGAUCGCUGCAUAUACCAAUAAAACUGAAGGGGAAGUUAUAUAAGACAACUGUGAGACCAACUUUACUUUAUGGGACGGAAUGUUGGGCGAUCAAGAAACAACAUACAUAUAGAAUGAAUGUAGUUGAGAUGGAUGAGUGGUAAGACAAUAAGGGAUAUAAUUAGAAGUUAAUACAUUCGGAAGAGCUUAUGUGUGGCUCUAAUAGGUCAUAAGAUGAGAGAAAACAGACUCAGAUAGAUUGGUCAUGUGCAACUGGAGUUUUAUGCAAUCGUUGCAUACCAAUGAAACUAAAGGAAAAGUUCUAUAGGACAACUGUGAGACUAGCUUUGCUUUAUAGGACGGAUGGGUGAUCAAGAAACAACAUACCCGUCGGAUGAGUGUAGUUGAGAUUGUGAAAGGAAAGUAUAUAUUGUAUAUCCGUUUAAUAUAGAAGGUGUAUAUUGUAAUCAGUAAAUAUGUGAAGGGUAGGAUAUUGUAUCCUAUAUUUUAUGGUAAGUCUGGUAUAUUUUAGGUGUCUAUGAUUUACUUUUUAUUAUUGUGAUAUGUAAUUUAUCUAUAAAAGACAAAUUUGUAUAUUCAUAACAAUUAAUGGACAUUGAGUCUCUUUAGAUAAACCUUAGACUCUUCGCAGAAAUGAGGAUGUUGAGAUUGAUGAGUGGCAAGACAAUGAGGGAUAUAAUAUAUUCGAAAUAAAUACAUUCGGGAGAACUUAGGUGUGGCUCUAAUAUGUGAUAAGAUGAGAGAAAAUAGACUUAAAUGGGUUGGUCAUAUGUAGUACAAACCCAAUACAACAGUUUUUAGGAGGUACGAAUUGGUUCAAGUGGAAGGCAGAAAAAAGGCAAGGGAUAGGUCUAAAAAGAUAUAGUUGGAAGUAGUGAGAAAAUAUAUGGCGACAUAUGACUUAGUGGCCUUUAAUAGAGCAAAAUAAUAGAUCAGGAUUCGUGUUGUUGAUCCCAAAAAGUUGGAAAAAAGCUCUCAUAAUGAGUAGGAUAAGAAAGAUACGAAAAAAGAGAAAGUCUUAUAUGUGACCCUAGACACUUAUAAAUAUGACCCCACUUCUAAGAAUGGACGGCUGAGAUCGCUCAUGUCACAUUGUCAUGCCAAAAUACUAUUAGACUUUUAAUUUUUUUUACGAAGUAUUUUUUAAUGAAAUUUGGGGUGUCCCCUCGGGGCGUCCCGUCUUUUCAUUGAGGCGACACCUAAAAAAAUAAAAAUAAAAGCAUUUGCAAUAAAAUUAAAUAACCAAAAUGACUCUACAAGGUUUAGGGGUAUUAUGGUAAUUUUUUAUCUUGAGCGUGUGUGUGUCUAUAUUUAUGUGUGUGUCUCUCUCUUUUAGACAUAUUCAUGCCCCAAAUUUUGCUACAAAAGCAUUUUUAGAAUAAAAAAUAAAAAAUAAAUACUCUAGGCCAUCGGAUCAAGAUCUGAUGCUCAAGAGCAAACUCGACUCAAAUUGAAUGGUUGAAAGUAAGGGCCACAUAUAUUUUAUAUGUAGAUGGGUCACAUGUAAAGCUUUCCAAAAAAAUAAAAAGUGUAAAUCAACCUAGCACUGCAUCAAAUUAAAGCAUGGUUUAUGUUUGAACUCUUACUCACUUGGAAGUUGGAACCACAAAAAUUGAUUGGCAACGUACAAAGAUGAGUAGGGAAAGGAGAAAAGAGAAAAGGAUUUUUAGAACACCAGGUGAGGGCAACAGAUUGACAACAUCCGAUCAUCAUUAUCAGCUGAGCCUUAUCUCAUCUACACGAAUCAUCUUCUGUCAUUCUACUCUAUCAAAUGCCACACCUUAGUAAGAUCAUAAGUCACCAUAUAUUUUUUUAUUAUUUCCAUCCAUAUCCUUUUGAGUCUUCUUUUUGCCCUUUUAGAGCCUUUCACUUAUAUCAAAUCGCAUCUCCUAAUCGAUGUUGAUUUAGACCUACGUUGCACAUGGCUAGCCCACUUAAGUACUUUUCUUCAUCUUAUCGCCUAUGAAACCACACCUAAAUUCCCUCCAAUAUAUUCAUUUUGAAUUUUAUCAUUUCUUGUUUUACCACUCAUCCAUCUCAACAUCCUCAUCUUAGCUAAACUCAUCCUAUAGCUAUAUUGUUUCUUGACCUCUUAACAUUAUGUCCCAUAAGCAUUGCUUGUCUUAUUAUUGUCCUUUAGAACUUCCCAUUCAAUUUCAUUGGUAUGCUGCGUUCACAUAAAACUCCAAAUACACAUAUCCACUUCCCCCACCUUCUCCAAUUUCAUGAACAUCGUCCUCAAUCCCUCCAUUCUCCUAGAUUGUCGACCGAAAAUAUCAAAAAUAAUGUAUUUUAAAUAUUUCUUGACCAUCAAUCUUAAUUACUUCCUUGUUUAUACUUCUAUUAUUACUAAACGUGCGUUCCCUAUAUUUGGUCUUAAUUUGAAUCAGACAACCACAUUUCACCAUGCCAAAUGAUAUAUUUGGUCUUAGUUUGAAUCGGAACCACAUUUCACCAUGCCAAAUGAACCAGCCGUGCAGUUUCUAUAUAGGCAUGGUCUAGUCAGGUAGAUGCAGCAUUGAAAGACUUGUUGACUUAAGUAACAAAUCACCGGGGUCACCCCAAGGGUCCUGACUUCGAAGAUUCAAGGCCCCGGACAAGGCGCAACCUAUUCACUACAAUGAAUAGAGGUACUGAAAUUUCAAUAAGGCUCGGGUGAGAAGCGCCAUUGUCAUUUUCAUUCAGCAGAAAAAAAAACUUAAAAUAUUGACAUUUGGUGCAAAAGAAAGUAUUUCAGCUUCAAAUCUUAACCCAUCGAUCAUCGUUGCCUAACGUAUUAUUAGAUCCAUAAACAAAAUUUUAAAAGCAUUAACUCGAGCUUUAGCAUAUUCAAGAGAAUUUAAUUUUCCAAUCUCAGGUUUUAAAGAGCCUCAACGAGCCUCAAAUCUAACUGAUUCAGACAGACCCCAAAAAUCUCGUAAUCUUUUUCAUCAAUAUGUGUAAUGGUGUUACAGAAAAUAUUCAUUUCCUAAUAUUGCUUUCUUUGUAAUUUUUAAAUCAAUUUAAAACUUUUUUACUGCUGUCCAAGUCCAUGCUGACUCAGGACUCGCUAAGCCGACUCAGGGCGGCACAUGGCACAUGGAUGCAGCAAGCAACACCACAUGAGAAGACAGCACAUGGUGCUAUUCACUACCAUGGAUGCAACAGAGAAAACAAGUUGGAUUCUGCGACCAGAAAUAGCUUCCUUGAGAACAGUCCCUCUUACACUACAAGACAUAAGGUCGAUGCUUCUGUAUAGGGAGGUAUAACGCCCAAUUUGUAGAGAAUAGGACAGAAAUGAUUUGGAGCCUACCCCUACGUACCCCACCCUGGAUUUGGACAAACCCAACAUAAAAGCUUUUCCAUAGUGUGAUAGAUAUGUACCCAUCCAUUGAUAACCACCCAUCAACAGUACUAUUGAACUCCACUCACUGAACUCAUCAAUCAUAAUAAAAGGAUAAACAUGUGAGGUAGUUCUUGUUCUCCAGGCCUAAGUCUCUGCCACCUUCAAAAUAUCAUCACUCAAGUCUUGACUCGAUGGACAAAAAUGAAAAAAACAGCAUUGAAAAUUAAGAAUAAGAGAAUUCAGAUUCGUAAUCCAAACCAUUAAAUGCCAUUGCCUUACUACUAGGCCAAAAACUUACCCAAAAAAAUUUAAAAUUUAAAAUACUUAAGUGGUAAGCUCCAUAAUGGCACUGACUAUAUCUCCAUCUGAACCCUUGAGGGCUCUAAUCGCCUUAGCUCUUGAUACUCCCGCUUGGGUCAUGACCAGGUCAAUGUCUCGAGCUUCAAUGCCUGUUUCAUCAAUAUCUUCCUCUUCAUCAUCUUGGACAGCAGCUGAUGCAUCUGGCUUGGCCAGAACAUUGCUCAUAUCAGGCAUCCUGAACUGUUGGGCUGCUUGAGUCUGAAGUUGUGAGCUCAAGUCCUCAAUCUUUGCCUCACCAAAUAUCACAUAGGUCUCGGAAUUUGGGCUCUUGAAAAUAUCAGGUUUCGAGAUCACAAACAAGAUCUGCAUGGUUAAAGAAGUAGAUUGGUUAACAAUCAAUAUUAAAAGAUUGAAUUUCUGUAUCGCCAACAAGAACUGCAAGGUCAAACAAGCACAAUUAGUUAGUAAACAGCAAUGGAAAAUUCUCUCACAGUUAGCAAACAGCAAUGGAAGUUUCUCUCUCCUCUCUCUCUCUCUCUCUCUCUCUAUCUCUCUCUCUCGAUCUCGCACGUGUAUUUGUAGACACUGUACAUAACGUGAUGAAUUUAUGUUGGAAGCCAUACGUUUUUGGUUCUUUUGAUAGUCACUCUGCUGACGCCAGUAACAGCUUUCAUCCCCAGCUUCAGCAUGGCCUUCCUGCUCUUUUUCUCACUCCUACUCUGCUUAGAACCCUCAUUUCCAGCAGCACCUUGCUCGCCUGAGGAGAAAAAGGCAUUGAGGAGAACCUCAGAAAUUUAAAUUGUAAGCAUAGAUCCAAACAAUUGUAAUACGAACCUCAAAGAGUUCAUAUAUCAGUAACAAAAAGUGAGUAUAUUUUACAAGGUAGAUAAAAGAUGAUAAUGCUCCUUUCUUGAUUUUCCCACAAAAGGAUGGUAGAAGGCUACUUGAGAGCAUGCACAACUGUUCGAUAUAUAACCAACAAAUUUUGAUCCUUCAACAGUUGGGCUUUGGUUCUGGCCUUCAACCUCAACAAACCCAAACAAUGAUAAAGAGAAAACAAGUCAUAACUUGUGAAUACUGCCAGUCGAGGCACUUAAAUAUGUGAAACUUAAAAAUACCAAAUCAACAUAAAUCCAUAGGUGAGUAACAAAACUGCACACUAGUUAAUUACAUAAAGGAGACGUAUUUCAUAUUAGUAAUAUAGAAAUGACAAAAUACUAUCUCACAAAGAUUUAUAUAAUACAGUUAAUGGUGAAGUCCCAAUCCAGAAAGCUAGUUCCUCUGAAUUGUAACAUUGCACUAAAUAUAGGCUAUAUACAAUCUAUAUACAAACACCAUGGAGAGCUCAGCAUAUUGUCAAGAUUUAAGGUAAUCGUAAAUUGAAAAAGACUUGGUACAACACCAACCACUCUUAAAUAGAUAUAUACAAACACCAUGGAGAGCUCAGCAUAUUGUCAAGAUUUAAGGUAAUCGUAAAUUGAAAAAGACUUGGUACAACACCAACCACUCUUAAAUAGAUACAAAUAACUCAAAUAGAGAACUAGGGCUACCGACAGGCCGUCCCUCGAGCUGCCCGAGUCUGGCCCAAAUCUUUUGGGCAAGGCUCGGGCCCAAAACCUUUUUCAGAUUAGGCCGGCCCCACCUGAUUCCUCUGAUAAGGCCUAAGCCCGACAGCCCAGCACAGCCCAUCCAACCCAUUGGAACUUAGAUCAUCUUGAUCACAGAAUCAGUCACCAUGAGACCAGGGUGCAAAAUCAACCACGUGAACUAUCCUCCGCAACUUGUUACAAGCUCCAAUGGGGCUUAAUUUGAGCUCCAAGAUAAGCCUGUCAAUUUGUUAAUUUCUCGACCAAAGCUAGCCUCAAAACCGUGCAUGUCUGAAUGUGUACACAUUCUACUGACUUGACAAGAACCAAAGCACGACAAGCAGCGGUUGAGACAUCAUUGCAAAAGUCCAUGUGACCUGUUAAGUCAAUGUGGUUGAUGAGGUAAUCUUUAUAUGCCAAAGCUAUCGAAGAGCUUUUCAUGGUGAUGGCUCUCUUAUAUUCAUGGAGACAGUCCAUGAACCUCAGGUCCAGCUUGUUUUGGGUGCAACAAUCCAUUUACUGAACCAGCAACUAUCUCGUAUCAGAAUCCCCCAUAUUUUUUCCCAAAUAUACUCUCCAGACUUUGAUUAAAUGUAUUUCUUUCCCCCCCUAUCUUUUCUAAUUGCUUUUCUCCUAAUUUUCAGCGCAAUUGAAGCAGGAAAGAAGAGACCAAAAUUAUCUGAGAAGACUUCAAAUCAAAUUAGUGUACAAUAUGGCCUCUCUCUCGAUUUAGUAUUGAUCAACCCAACUUCCUUUUCUUUCUUUGUUCAAUGGUAGCAUCAUCUGAAAAACCAAAAUGCCUGAAAAAUUUCAACCACACCAAUAAACAGUGAGAAAAACCUUACCCUGGCCUAUCAUGAUGGCUGUUUCCUGAAUAAAGGCUAGAUAUCAGCAUCUUUAUCAAUUGUGCUGAUAAUUUGUAGACAAAACCCUGAAUUCUCUCCAUUUCAACAAGUUUUUUUUUUUUAAUGUUCUCCAUUUUGACAACUUUAUCAAGUGAAAACCCUAGAUUUGUGCAAGUUUAAGGAUUCAUGAUCAUGGAUCAAUGGCAAUCAUACCUUUAACGAGGGCCUCUGGUUUUUAGGAUUUUAAAGCAUUAGCUGGUUGCGGCUCCAGAAAUGAAGAAGAGAGGCCUUGACUUUCUUUGGAUCUAGAGAGAGAUGGAGAAAGAGAUCUUGGGUAGUUGGGUCUCCCUGUGUGUCCAUGGAAAUACUUUGGGCUAGAUGGAGAGAGAGUGAGUGAGAGGGAGAAGGGGAGGGUAAGAGAGAGAGAGAGAGAGAGAGAGAGAGAGAGAGAGAGAGAGAGAGAGAGAGAGAGAGAGAGAGAGAGUAGUAGAGUAGAGUAGAGACGUAGAGACGAGUAGAGUAGUAGUACGUACGUACGUACGUACGUACGUACGUACGUACGUACGUAGUACGUANNNNNNNNNNNNNNNNNNNNCCUAUCCCUCGUGUGCCUUGCUCCCACGACUGAGAGAGAGAGAGAGAGAGAGAGAGAGACUGCUAUAGAUGGAUGAACAGGCAGAAAAUCAGCUGAAUCUAGAAAUUGUUCCAAGCAACCAUAUGGGAAGAUGGAUCGAUUCAACAUAUUCAACAGAACAACUAGAGGUUACAAAAGAGGAAAAUGAAGUAAAUGAAAAAGGAGGGUCCUAAAUCACUUCAAGUGUGAACAGUAUAAUCACAACUCAUCUAUAUACUAAACUUUUAAAUCUUUGAACCUAAAUCCUUAGACUCAUUAAGAUUAGGAGGUUUGGAUAUGUGAGAGAGAGAGAGAACAGAGACACAGAAAGAUUAUGUUUUUCAAUAUUUUUUAACUUUUCAUCCCAUCACACACCACUCCAACAAAUGAAAUGAAAUCGAUCCUCUACUUAAAGAGACAUGAAUAUCACAUUUUUCCUCAAAGAACAAGCCACUCCUCAAAACCAUAUCAAUGAACAGAUGGUUACCUUAUUCUCUGAUAAUUCAGUGAGAUAUAAUAGCAAUUUGUUUAACAGAAAUAACUUGAAAAGCAUAUCAGUCAGAAGUGCUUUCUACACCAGCAGGGCCAUAUCAAAUUUGCUUCCAGUAAUCUUGAGAUUAGCGCACCACCAAAGUGUUUUGUUGUUUCAAAACUAUAAUCUUGAGAUUAGCGCACCACCAAAAUAUUUUGUUGUUUCAAAACUACCUUUACCAAAAAACAAAAAAAAAAGGAAAAAAAGUAUACUACCUAAUAGAAACAUAAAAAUAAGUAUAAACUUACGUAGUCUCAGGUGAUUCUAUGUGAAACAAUGAAUAUCUACAUACGUUGGGCUAUCUCAAUUCAGAUUAACAUACAAUUGGGUAUAGCAAAAAUUCACUUCAAAAUUUUAGCUAGAAAUCAGUGAAAAACGGUUGAAACCAACCUGCCGUAAAAAGUUCAGCUCAUAAAUGCUCCCCUCAGUUGAAGGGAGAAGAGCUGGAGUAGGAUCAGGGAACCAUUAUAGUACGAAAGCUUGCAGUUAAAUUACAAAAGAUUUGGAUCCCUAGAGUACCUAGUGAAUGAUCAAACUUAUAUACAUUUUCAAAGAACCAGAGAAUUCCGAUCUACUGAUUAUACAUCUUGUCUAAAAUUCAAGAAAACUGGCAGAAAUCUACAGUCAAAAGCCUCUUGAAGAGCUGUUGCCCUCAGUUGAAAUAAGAAAAAACUGGAGCAGGGCCAUAUGUCAAUUUAUCCCCAAAGAGAGAGAGAGAGAGAGAGAGAGAGAGAGAGAGAGAGAGAGAGAGAGAGAGAGAGAGAGAGAGAGAGAGAGAGUAGUAUUAUUAGUAGGUAGGUACGUUAGUUAAGUUAAGUAGUACGACGACGAGACGUAGUUAGUUAUUAGUUAGUUAUUAGUAUACUAACUANNNNNNNNNNNNNNNNNNNNGAGAGAGAGAGAGAGAGAGAGAGAGAGAGAGAGAGAGAGAGAGAGAGAGAGAGAGAGAGAGAGAGAGAGAGGAAGAGGACAGAUACAAGGUAUUUUAUUAUUGAGGGGCGUUUACAGUUUUAAAAUGCAGCAGACAAGGUCUUUUAUUAUGAUUUAAUGAUACCAUAAAUAUGCCUUUCCCAGGUUGUGUUUAUUCUUGCCAAUUAUGAAAUUAAAAACGACUACAAUGGAAUGCCCCCUAUUUAAGACAAAAUUACAAUAGAGGAUACCCAUUCAGUCUUCUCCAGCAUGUUGAAGGGGGUCCUAUCAAACAUCAUUCAAUAGGGGAAUUGGGCUGCCUCUACACUUCUACCCCUUGGUGAUAGCUGAAGGUGUAAUGGGACGUUAUAGAGAUUUUUUUAUUAAAAAUAGCAAUAAGAGAUUUUUAAGUCCCAGGACAUACUAAAGUUACAUUUUAGUUACUCCAAGGUUUUUAACAAAGCUGUCACUCCAAGGUUUCUAGUAGUGAAAAAAAUCUUUAGGCUCAUCUUCCGCCUUUCUAGUCUAUCUUUGUUAUGUACCCAUGUACAUGUAUUAUUUCUUUAACCCCCCAACUGAAGAUAAUUAUAAAAAAAAAUGGUAUAACAUAUCAAAUACAAAAGAUUAUCAUUUUGCUUUUAUUCUUAACUAAUAAAAAGUUUAUAUAAGGUUGCAACCGUACUUGUAGAAGUAAGAUUGCAGUAAUCUACAUCAUUCAUUUUAUUUGAACAGUGUAGAUUUAGCACUAUCUUAAAAGGCGUAUCACUUUUUGACACUAUCUUAAAAGACGUGUUAAAUCUACACCAUCCAACUAAAAUGAACUAUGUAGAACAUCGCAACCUUACUUCUGCAAGUAAUGCUACAACCUUGUAUAGACCCCACCCCUUAACUAAUUUUUAUGAUUACCAACGCUUUGCAUAUUCAAAUUAUAAGUGGUAUGGUUUAAGCCCUUCCUGUUUUUGAACAUUGCUGCCCCUAGCUUAUGUUCAUGUUCUGUCCAAAUAACCAUAAUUGGAUGUUGAUAAGAAAACUAUUCCACUUCACAAUAUCCUUUACUGCAAUAAUUGAAAGGGAAAAUUUAACAUGUGCCACGACCCACAUAUAAAAAAUAGGAAAAUUUACUAAUAAAUCCUAGUGUAUUUUCGAUAUUUAAAAAUAGUCUCUUAUAUUUCAUACAUAUUUUACAAUCAAGUCUCAUUUUUCAAAAUAAAAUAAUAUGCAUUUAAAUUCUAUCUUUUUCUCUAUGCAUCAGAAUAAGCUCAAAUUUGGUAUGUCCAUAAUUCUCACCAUCAUACAUCUAUACAAAAUAUUUUAAAAAUAGUUUAAGAUAAAUAAAAUUACCAUACUUACCCGAGGGGUAGUUUGGAAAUUUUAUAUAACUUAAAUUAUUUAUAGGAUAUACGAUGGUGAG
rnacentral:lncRNA from 1 species